ACAAUGGAGAGUUUGAUCCUGGCUCAGGAUGAACGCUAGCGGCAGGCCUAAUACAUGCAAGUCGGACGGGAUCUAUCGGAGAGCUUGCUCGAAGAUAGUGAGAGUGGCGCACGGGUGCGUAACGCGUGAGCAACCUACCCAUAUCAGGGGGAUAGCCCGGAGAAAUCCGGAUUAAGACCGCAUAACACUGUGAUUUGGCAUCAUGUUACAGUUAAAUAUUUAUAGGAUAUGGAUGGGCUCGCGUGACAUUAGCUAGUUGGUGAGGUAA
rnacentral:ncRNA from 1 species